rnacentral:tRNA from 1 species
UCCUUGGUGGUUCAGUGGUUAGGAUUUGACACUUUGACUGUCAAAGUGCCAAGUUCAAUCCCUGGUCGAGAAA